UGGUGGGGCGCCGGGCAGCUCCUCCCGGACUCUGGCUCCUGUCCAAACUAAUGCGCCGCAUACGUUUUUUUGGUUGGGUUGCAGUUGGAAUAUGGAGAGAAGACAGAGACGCUGAGCUCCGCCCCAUCACUUUCAUCCAUAUGUGCGUGUUAUUAUAUAUUAUGCAUUCAUUUUUUUUUCUCCUUUCUCCCCCCUUAUGCCCCUCGAGGACACUGAGUUUUUUCUUGUGCGUCUAUAGCGACAUUCGAGACGUUUUAAGUAUCAUCGUUAUUAUUAUUAUUCGGUAAUAAAGGCCGCGCGGCGAAAAUUCUGUCGUGUCGGCUCAAAAGUCCACAUUCCAAUCAGCGGGAUACCAGUCUAUAAUUUUCUCUUGGAAGCCAAGAGGAAUAAUUUUUAGAGACUAGAAUCAUCCCGAUCAGUUCAGCGGAUGUCGUGGGUCACAAAACCGCUUUUGAUUGUUUUUGAGCGGGAAGGAUUUUUAAAAAAGGAAGAGUCGAUUUUUAAUUGUUUAAUCGAUUUCUUAAAGAUUGCUAAUGGGCAUAGUAGAACAACAGUCAAAAGUUGUCGUCUGCUUUGUUGAAAAGUUUCAAACAAGCAUGGAACAAGAGACAAAGUUGAAAAGAUUACAAAGAAAACGGAACCAUCAUACUUUUUGGCAAACGUACACACGUUGCUGCACGAAACAAAGCACAACAAAUAAAACUACAAAAAUGUGGUCGUCGUGUCUCGUGUGAAACUGGUGUCGCGACUCUCCAUGCUCUCCACGCCAUGCCGUUUGGCAGAUUUGAGGCCUGCCAUCGUUACAAAAAAUAUAUGCCAGUUUUCACUUCUGCUGGUAUUUACCUGUCAACAGCAACAACCUCACCAUCAUCGCUUGGAUAAACAGCAUCCCGUUUGAGUUGGAGUAUCUACCCAGGAUGUCGGUCGAGUUACGGAUCUCUUCUUCCCCGUUCUUGAAAUGUCCACGUGUACACCCAUGUGAGUGUGGGGGUAUUCACGAGACUUUUCCUAUAUCCCGCCUGGUGGAUUCAACUUUUCUGAGGAUGGAUGGAGCAACUGCAGAUGCCUGGCUGUGGAUUUCCCGGGCUUUAAGGUAGGAAAAUUGUUUCUCUAUUCUUCCUUUUUUGACUCUCUGGUUGCUUUGUUUUUAAAUC